CCUGGCACCUCCACCUUCCCUGCUGCUCCGCUCCAAAGUCGCUCCCGACACAAGGGGGCGUGAAUGGCCUGGCCGGCUCUGCCCACUCUGAAUUUCGGUCUCCACAAAUAGCAGAAGCACGGAACGGCGAGGUUAUGCCUGUCCACUUCCUUUUCCAGGAGACACUCCGCCUUUGUUCCUGUGACUGCCUUCUUCAGGAUUGGUACCCGCUUCUUUGUGGAAUAGGAUCGCUGCACCCUGGCCAGGUUCCUUGCUUGGGAACCAAGGAGGAGGUGUGGUGUGCAAGCAAAUAUAAUGAGGGCACCAAGUGAGAGCUUGCCCAUUCACAAAGGCCCAAUGGGAGAGAGAAUGGUGAACUGACCAAGAGUUGGAGAGUUCCAGACUACUGGGAAAGACCACUCAAUCAAAUCCAAUUAGCAGAAUUUUAUUAAGAUGGCCAACCUGACUGCAUCCACAAGAUCGUGCCUGAGAUGCUGUAGGAGCAUUGAGUCUGUGAUUCUGACGGGAGCUCAGAGGUCCAGAAAGCUGAGAGACUUGUGGACAGUAACUGCUGCACUCAGAAAGUUUCAUGUGGAAAUGAAGACUGUAUUGGAAAUUAGAGCAGAGGUCACUCGUGUUAGAUCCUGUUUUUAAAAAAAAAAGAGUAUGUUUUUACAUAUCCUGAGACUUUGAGAGUGAAUUUUAAAGUAAUGGACUAAUUUAUUUGGUGGCAGCAAUUUCAAGAAAUUAAUACAUUUGGCCGAUAGCAGGGCUAUUGAUGGAGGCUUUUAGCCAGGUUUAAAGUGAAAAUUGGUAGAAAGGCCUAGGAAACUUGCAGGCUUCUCUCAAAGGGCCUUAUAAAGCAGGAAGUUAUGGUUUCUAAAGAUACCAGCGCCAUUUAAAAGGAACUGUUCAUUUGCAUUGAGACAAUAAGACAUCUGUAAGAACUGACCAGACCCCAUCACAGGUUCGAGGGUAGGACAUGAGAAACUUACUGAAAGAUAUUUCUGGAGCAGGAAAGAGCCUCUGAGACACUCUGCCGGCAAAGGAAAGCCCAGGAAAAUGUUUUCCUAGUAUUCAUCUUACUGAGUUCAGAUGCCUACCCACUUAAAAGGCUGAUGCAGCUGUCAUCCAAGAGGGCCCACCUUGAAGUGGUGGUCAUGACACCACUUUUACAAGCACACAGUGUGCAAGAAUUACAGGCUCGUGGAGGCUUCCCCCCAGAUGUCAGCCUGCAAGGUGAAGCAAGGGUGAGAAGGUCUUAGUCUGCAAAGGCAUCCUUACAGAGGACAAGAAUAAAGCCCUGAGGGAAAGCCCCAAGCUGCAGUGGAGAUCCCAGCAUGUUAGAUGUGCCAGCAACCUGGAAUGUCUGCUAAGGAAGACUUCAAGCAGCCACUGGUGCCAGCCCAGGUAGGAAGCCACAUGGAUUACAAAUGACAAGACAGCAGAGGAAAGGCUGCCCCAGCUCUCAGGAGCUCAUAUCAUGCCACACGCCUCGGACACGAUAGAAGUUUCAUCCUUUCUAGGUUUGGGUAUUGCUUUUGUCUAAUUAUUCCUUGCUUUCCUCCUGUUUUUCCAUUUUUAAAAUGGGAAUUUAAGUCCAUACAACGCCAGGGCUCACAGCUAAGGGAUGCCUUGACUCUCUGGAGAGACGGUUGGACAAUGUUGGAAAUAUUAAGACUAUGGGUAUUCACGAAGGUGGACUAGGGGCAUCCUGCAUGAUGAGAUGGACAUGAGCUGGUGGUCGGGGCAAACUGUCAUAGUCUGAAUAUGGAAUCUCCCCUACGCGCUCAUAGGUUCACCAUUUGUUUCCCAGCUAGUAGGAAUAUUUUGGAAGUUAGUAGAAGACUGAGGAGACGGGGCCUACACAAAGGAAGUCGGCGACUGGAGUUAUUUCCAUGUUAUACCUGGGGUCCAAACCCUCUUUGUGUUGUGUUGUGGCUACCCUGAGGUGAACAACCUCCUCACAGGCUCUCACCACCAUGUUUCAUGAUGUUUGACUCACAUCAGGUCUAGGAAAAGUCUUUGAGACUAAGAAAUAGAAAAUGCCCCCCUUUUGUAUAUUGUUUCUGUCAGCUACUUUUGUUCUAGCCAGGAGGAGGAAAGUGUCCUUGUGUAUUUAUUUGUUACUUCUUGCUGUGACCAAAUACCCGGCAAGGGCAAAUUAAAGCAGGAAUGUGGGGCAUUGGGCAUAAAAUAAAGGGAGUGGGAGAAAGUCCCGCCAGAGUUCCGGUGCUCUGAGCGGGCAGACGAAGGAGGACUGCUGCACGCUUUCCACGCAUCCUGGGUGGGUGUCUAGCUGUGGGAAGCCACGGAACCCAGCCCGCCAGGGGUUAGAUAAGGGGCAGUCCGAGGUCUCUGGGCCUCACUGAGGCCAGAAAUAACAGGUUCUCAGUAUCAGGCAUUUCACGCUGGAUACUGUGGAAGA